rnacentral:rRNA from 1 species
CUUAGUAGCGGCGAGUGAAGCGGCAAAAGCUCAAAUUUGAAAUCUGGCGCCUUCGGUGUUUGUGUUGUAAUUUGAAGAUUGUAACCUUGGGGUUGGCUCUUUGUCUAUGUUUCUUGGAACAGGACGUCACAGAGGGUGAGAAUCCCGUGCGAUGAGAUGCCCAAUUCUAUGUAAGGUGCUUUCGAAGAGUCGAGUUGUUUGGGAAUGCAGCUCUAAGUGGGUGGUAAAUUCCAUCUAAAGCUAAAUAUUGGCGAGAGACCGAUAGCGAACAAGUACAGUGAUGGAAAGAUGAAAAGAACUUUGAAAAGAGAGUGAAAAAGUACGUGAAAUUGUUGAAAGGGAAGGGUUUGAGAUCAGACUCGAUAUUUUGUGAGCCUUGCCUUCGUGGCGGGGUGACCCGCAGCUUAUCGGGCCAGCAUCGGUUUGGGCGGUAGGAUAAUGGCGUAGGAAUGUGACUUUACUUCGGUGAAGUGUUAUAGCCUGCGUUGAUGCUGCCUGCCUAGACCGAGGACUGCGAU